rnacentral:rRNA from 1 species
CCUACGGGUGGCAGCAGUGAGGAAUAUUGGUCAAUGGGCGCGAGCCUGAACCAGCCAAGUAGCGUGAAGGAUGACUGCCCUACGGGUUGUAAACUUCUUUUAUAAAGGAAUAAAGUGAGGCACGUGUGCCUUUUUGUAUGUACUUUAUGAAUAAGGAUCGGCUAACUCCGUGCCAGCAGCCGCGGUAAUACGGAGGAUCCGAGCGUUAUCCGGAUUUAUUGGGUUUAAAGGGAGCGUAGAUGGGUUGUUAAGUCAGUUGUGAAAUCCCUCGGCUUAACUGAGGAACUGCAACUAAAACUACUUCCCUUGAGUACUGGAGAGGAAAGUGGAAUUCCUAGUGUAGCGGUGAAAUCCGUAGAUAUCUGGAGGAACAUCAGUGGCGAAGGCGACUAUCUGGCACAUAACUGACGCUGAGGAGCGAAAGCGUGGGUAGCAAACAGGAUUAGAUACCCCAGUAGUC